AUUCCAGGAAGCGUUUGCACAUCCUGGCCCCAGAAGAUUUUGCGUAGCCUCACCAAGAGAAGAAGUUGGAAAGAAAAAAAAAGAAGUUGGCAAGGCAUCCAGAGGAGACCCCGCCAGCACCUGGGUUCUCUGCCAGGGGAGAGAGGCCCUAGAAACAAGAACCAAUCCAGCAGCAACAAGCAUCUCUGGCAGUCUAUCAUUUCCCUUCAACUGAAAUCAGAUCUUCUUAAAGAAAUGCUUGGCUCUCAGACUGGGAACGGAAAUGUACAAGAUGUGCUUCGAUAUCUGGUCAAAUCAGAAACUCAAAAAGCUAUCAAAGUCUCUUUGGACUGUGUCAGAAAGAGGUGAAAAGACUCCCACUUGCCAAAGACGGGACAAUUUGAGCAUUCAUAAGACUAAUCACUAUAAUGGACUAUAGUGAACUGAAGUACAUCAAAUAUGUUUCAAUCCAUGAUUUCAUAAUGGUAUCUUAAAUAAUUGGUCACUUGUGAAGGACUCUACGUAACCAACUCAACAACUUGAAAACUGGUAAUAAAGAGAAAUCCUUUAUUCUGCCUUUCCUAUAGAAACCAUAACUGAACCCCAUGGUUGAUGAAGCAAUUUCUCUUACACAAGCAGUCUACCUAAUAACUGAAGAAAGGAGCGAGCAGGGCAGGAGAGUGGGUGUGGGGGAGAAAAAAGAAUAAAUACAUAAAUGAAGAAAGAAA
rnacentral:lncRNA from 1 species